rnacentral:rRNA from 1 species
UACGGAAGGGGCAAGCGUUGUUCGGAAUCAUUGGGCGUAAAGGGCGCGUAGGCGGGAUGGCAAGUCGGUCGUGAAAUCCUUCGGCUCAACCGAAGAACGUCGGCCGAUACUGCCGUUCUUGAGGGAUGCAGAGGAGAUUGGAAUUCCCGGUGUAGCGGUGAAAUGUGUAGAGAUCGGGAGGAACACCGGUGGCGAAGGCGGGUCUCUGGGGCAUCUCCUGACGGCUGAGGCGCGAAAGCGUGGGGGAGCAAACGGGG